CAACGAUAAAUCUGGCAGGCAACUGGUC
rnacentral:sRNA from 1 species